rnacentral:tRNA from 1 species
UGGCUCAGUUCGUAGAGCAUGGUGUUUGCAACGCCAGGGUUGUGGGUUCGAUUCCCAC